GUGGAGGGAAAGGUGGUCUUGGUGUUUGUGGUGGUUGUGGUGGGAAAGUUGGUGGUGUCACAGGUGGUCGUGGUGGAGAAGGUCUUGGCGUUUGUGGUGGUUGCGGUGGAAAAGGUGGUGGCGGUGCUGGUGUUUUUGGAGGUUGUGGUGUCGG